AAAAGGUUCAUGAAACUUGAAAAAGGUUCAUCCAAAUUGAAAAAUAGUUCAUUGAAUUACAAAAAGUUCACCAAAUUCGGAAAAAGUUCACGAAUUAAAAAUAGCUCAUCGAUAUAAAAAAUAGCAAAAGGAAAAAAGUGUGCGCAUUUAUCAAUUAUCAAAAAGUGUAAGAAUAAUUAGAGAAAAAAAAAUGAACAAAAUCAUUCAAGAAAACAAUAAGUUAAUCAACGAG
rnacentral:lncRNA from 1 species